rnacentral:rRNA from 1 species
UUGCUUCUUCGCUGACGAGUGGCGGACGGGUGAGUAAUGUCUGGGAAGCUGCCUGAUGGAGGGGGAUAACUACUGGAAACGGUAGCUAAUACCGCAUAAUGUCGCAAGACCAAAGAGGGGGACCUUCGGGCCUCUUGCCAUCGGAUGUGCCCAGAUGGGAUUAGCUUGUUGGUGGGGUAACGGCUCACCAAGGCGACGAUCCCUAGCUGGUCUGAGAGGAUGACCAGCCACACUGGAACUGAGACACGGUCCAGACCCCUACGGGAGGCAGCAGUGGGGAAUAUUGCACAAUGGGCGCAAGCCUGAUGCAGCCAUGCCGCGUGUAUGAAGAAGGCCUUCGGGUUGUAAAGUACUUUCAGCGGGGAGGAAGGGAGUAAAGUUAAUACCUUUGCUCAUUGACGUUACCCGCAGAAGAAGCACCGGCUAACUCCGUGCCAGCAGCCGCGGUAAUACGGAGGGUGCAAGCGUUAAUCGGAAUUACUGGGCGUAAAGCGCACGCAGGCGGUUUGUUAAGUCAGAUGUGAAAUCCCCGGGCUCAACCUGGGAACUGCAUCUGAUACUGGCAAGCUUGAGUCUCGUAGAGGGGGGUAGAACUCCAGGUGUAGCGGUGAAAUGCGUAGAGAUCUGGAGGAAUACCGGUGGCGAAGGCGGCCCCCUGGACGAAGACUGACGCUCASGUGCGAAAGCGUGKGGAGCAAACAGGAUUAGAUACCCUGGUAGUCCACGCCGUAAACGAUGUCGACUUGGAGGUUGUGCCCUUGAGGCGUGGCUUCCGGAGCUAACGCGUUAAGUCGACCGCCUGGGGAGUACGGCCGCAAGGUUAAAACUCAAAUGAAUUGACGGGGGCCCGCACAAGCGGUGGAGCAUGUGGUUUAAUUCGAUGCAACGCGAAGAACCUUACCUGGUCUUGACAUCCACGGAAGUUUUCAGAGAUGAGAAUGUGCCUUCGGGAACCGUGAGACAGGUGCUGCAUGGCUGUCGUCAGCUCGUGUUGUGAAAUGUUGGGUUAAGUCCCGCAACGAGCGCAACCCUUAUCCUUUGUUGCCAGCGGUCCGGCCGGGAACUCAAAGGAGACUGCCAGUGAUAAACUGGAGGAAGGUGGGGAUGACGUCAAGUCAUCAUGGCCCUUACGACCAGGGCUACACACGUGCUACAAUGGCGCAUACAAAGAGAAGCGACCUCGCGAGAGCAAGCGGACCUCAUAAAGUGCGUCGUAGUCCGGAUUGGAGUCUGCAACUCGACUCCAUGAAGUCGGAAUCGCUAGUAAUCGUGGAUCAGAAUGCCACGGUGAAUACGUUCCCGGGCCUUGUACACACCGCCCGUCACACCAUGGGAGUGGGUUGCAAAAGAAGUAGGUAGCUUAAC